rnacentral:rRNA from 1 species
CGUAGGGUGCAAGCGUUAAUCGGAAUUACUGGGCGUAAAGCGUGCGCAGGCGGUUCGGAAAGAAAGAUGUGAAAUCCCAGGGCUUAACCUUGGAACUGCAUUUUUAACUACCGGGCUAGAGUGUGUCAGAGGGGGGUGGAAUUCCACGUGUAGCAGUGAAAUGCGUAGAUAUGUGGAGGAACACCGAUGGCGAAGGCAGCCCCCUGGGAUAACACUGACGCUCAUGCACGAAAGCGUGGGGAGCAAACAGGAUUAGAUACCCUGGUAGUCCACGCCCUAAACGAUGUCAACUAGCUGUUGGGGCCUUCGGGCCUUGGUAGCGCAGCUAACGCGUGAAGUUGACCGCCUGGGGAGUACGGUCGCAAGAUUA